ACGGAAGGCAGCAGUGGGGAAUAUUGCACAAUGGGCGCAAGCCUGAUGCAGCAACGCCGCGUGAGGGAAGACGGUCUUCGGAUUGUAAACCUUUUUCUUGGGUGAAGAAGAAAGUGACGGUAGCCAAGGAGUAAGCCACGGCUAACUACGUGCCAGCAGCCGCGGUAAUACGUAGGUGGCAAGCGUUGUCCGGAAUUACUGGGUGUAAAGGGAGCGCAGGCGGGACAGCAAGUUAGAUGUGAAAUACCGGGGCUUAACCAUGGAGCUGCAUCCAAAACUGUUGUUCUUGAGUGAAGUAGAGGUAGGCGGAAUGCCGAGUGUAGCGGUGAAAUGCGUAGAUAUUAGGAGGAACACCAGUGGCGAAGGCGGCCUACUGGGCUUUAACUGACGCUGAGGCUCGAAAGUGUGGGGAGCAAACAGGAUUAGAUACCCUGGUA
rnacentral:rRNA from 1 species